UCCGGUUGAUCCUGCCAGAGGCCGCUGCUAUCUGGCUGGGACUAAGCCAUGCUAGUCUAGGGGCUUGUAUCCCUUCGGGGAUGCAAGCACCGGCGAACGGCUCAGUAACACGUGGACAACCUGCCCUCGGGAGGGGGAUAACCCCGGGAAACUGGGGCUAAACCCCCAUAGGAGAUGGGUACUGGAAUGUCCCAUCUCCGAAAGUCCGCAAGGAGCCCGAGGAUGGGUCUGCGGCGGAUUAGGUAGUUGGUGGGGUAACGGCCCACCAAGCCUAAGAUCCGUACGGGCUGUGGGAGCAGGAGCCCGGAGAUGGACCCUGAGACAAGGGUCCAGGCCCUACGGGGCGCAGCAGGCGCGAAACCUUCGCAAUGCGGGAAACCGCGACGAGGUCAGCCAGAGUGCCCGUGCAUUGCGCGGGCUGUCCGGGUGCCUAAACAGCACCCGACAGCAAGGGCCGGGCAAGGCCGGUGGCAGCCGCCGCGGUAAUACCGGCGGCCCGAGUGGCGGCCACUCUUAUUGGGCCUAAAGCGUCCGUAGCCGGCCCAGUAAGUCCUCCGGGAAAUCUGGUCGCUCAACGAUCAGGCUUCCGGGGGAUACUGCUGGGCUAGGGACCGGGAGAGGCCGGGGGAAUUCCCGGGGUAGGGGUGAAAUCCUGUAAUCCCGGGAGGACCACCUGUGGCGAAGGCGCCCGGCUGGAACG
rnacentral:rRNA from 1 species